rnacentral:rRNA from 1 species
CAGCCGCCGCGGUAAUACGAAGGGGGCUAGCGUUGUUCGGAAUUACUGGGCGUAAAGCGCACGUAGGCGGAUACUUAAGUCAGGGGUGAAAUCCCGGGGCUCAACCCCGGAACUGCCUUUGAUACUGGGUAUCUCGAGUCCGGAAGAGGUGAGUGGAAUUCCGAGUGUAGAGGUGAAAUUCGUAGAUAUUCGGAGGAACACCAGUGGCGAAGGCGGCUCACUGGUCCGGUACUGACGCUGAGGUGCGAAAGCGUGGGGAGCAAACAGGAUUAGAUACCCCCGUAGUCCCUGUCUCUUAUAU